rnacentral:sRNA from 1 species
GAAAACUAACAAGAGGGUCCUUUUUGUUCCUACUUGCCUAGGCAAGUAGCCGGGUUAGCACCACAUGAGAAACAUAUCACCGCGCUUCUGAAAGCCAGAAAAGAAAGAAAAACGUGCAGUCGUGCGCUGAAGGUAGCAAAAAGCACACUAGCUAGAGAGCUAAGACGAAGCGUGAGGAGAUGGCCAACGUUGUUAGGAAGAUGAGGU